rnacentral:rRNA from 1 species
UACGAAGGGUGCAAGCGUUGCUCGGAAUUACUGGGCGUAAAGCGUGCGUAGGUGGUUCGUUAAGUCUGAUGUGAAAGCCCUGGGCUCAACCUGGGAAUGGCAUUGGAAACUGGCGACCUAGAGUGCGGUAGAGGGUAGUGGAAUUCCCGGUGUAGCAGUGAAAUGCGUAGAGAUCGGGAGGAACAUCCGUGGCGAAGGCGACUACCUGGACCAGCACUGACACUGAGGCACGAAAGCGUGGGGAGCAAACAGG